CGGCGGCGUGACCGUUCCACUGCCCCCCCCACCCGGCUCCCUGCUGUCCCCCUCCCCCAGCCCCGCGGAUGGAGGCACCCGGGCCGGGCGCGCGCGACCCGCGCCGCCGCCGCAGCGCCCUGCCCGGCGAACAAAGAGCCCCCCGCCCGCGCGGCCCCGGCGGCGCGGCCCCGGCCCGCGGGCGGCCGGAGGAGGGGCCGGCCCCGCGCUUCCCCCGCUCGGCCCCCCCUCCCCGUUCUUCCCCCACCCGCCGGGGCGGCGCUCCCCGCCCGCCGUGGGGUGCGUGGAACGGCGCCCGUCCCCACCAGCGGCGGCAGCGAGACUUACCUCUGCUCCGCGCGGGGCCACGGGAGCCCCGGGGCGGCGGGGGCGGCUGGAGCGGCCGCCGCUGGAGCCCGCGCUUCCCCCCCGCUCUUUGUGUGCGAGGGUCCGCGCGCUGCGCUCUCGCGUGACGUGACGGGACCGUGUGUCAUUUCCGCACAAGGACACCGAGCCCCGACCCGCCGCGGCCAGCGCCCCCCGCCGCCCCGGGGCAGGGGCAGGGGAGGGAGGGAGCGGGGGUGGGGGGGAGAGCGGCCCGCUCCUCCCCCGUCCCCUGGCUCCCCACCCCCCGCCCUCCCCGGCGCUGCCACUGGGAACGCGCGCGGUUCCCACUGGAGACCCCGCGCGCCCCCGCGCCGCGCGCGCCCCGCCGCCCACUCGGUGCCGCGCGGGCAGAGGCUCCGCCGCCGGGGGUGCCACGCGCCCGCCCCGCGACACGCCCUGCCCGGGACCCCGCGCUCGCACAUGGGGCCGCCGUCCCUCGGGGACACGGCCCCGCGUGACGGGGCCGGGGGGGACGGGGCGCGCUCACUGCCAGCGGCCACCGCCGCACGGAAAACGCGCGCCCCCUCCCCCCGCCCCACCGCCCUCCCGGCCUUUGCGCGGCCGGGCCGCUCCGCGCGGUCUCGCGUGGACGCGGCGCCCGCGCGUCCCGCAGAGUCAGGCGGCGGGCCGCGCACGUGCGCGCGCGGGGGAGGCGGCGGGGGCAGCCGCGUGCCCACGGCAGGUGUCCGCGAGCACGUGGCCGCGCGGGCACACGGUCCCGCAUCGUCCCGCGCGCCUUCCCAACACCCACCCGCCGCUCGUGUCCCGUCACCGCCACCGCCGGGCUGCCACAAAACUGGGGGGAUCCCGGUCAUCUCCAGGCGGAGCUGGGCUCCGGCCGGGCCGGCGGAGAGACCGACCGGCAGUUCCCAAGACCCCGGCCGCAGCCGCACCGAUCCCGUAAAUCCGUCCCCACGCCGGCGUGCCCGCGGGUCAGCCCGGGGCAGCGCUGCGGGCGGAGCCGGGGGACGCGCCGAGCGCUCCUCGCGCGCACGGGCUGUGACAUCCGCACGCAGCCCCUGCCCGGCCCGGCAGGCUCCGGCCCCCGGCGCUGCCCGGAGCUGGCAGCGCCCGUGGGAGCGCUGCCCGCCCGCCUUUAUGUGA
rnacentral:lncRNA from 1 species